GAAUGUCUCUCUUAUCCCCUGCUAGGUGCUCUUCACCUGGGGCUCCCACAGAUCAUGUAUCCAAACCUACUCCCAGGAAAUCUAUCUAUAAGCCAAGCAAAUAAACCAACUUCUGAUCCUCUAAAUCAUUCAACAUGUGUUGCACUACUGGGGUAUCUGGCUGACAAAAACCAUUAGAAAGUGAGUGAGUGACAGCUAGCCCAGGGUGCUGCUUGUGCACAUCUACUGAGGAAUGGGAAUGCUUAGCAGAACAGUGGAGCAGACGGAAUGAAGAGCCCCAGACAAACACACUAUAGCCUGAUAGAGCAUCUUCUACAAUCAGAUGUUGAUAUGAUCAAAUGCUGACUACAGCAUGCUGCAGCCCAGAACGGAACCAAACACUUUGGAGAAAUCCAGAUCAGAACUUUGCAGUCAGCCUUCCUGCAAACCUAAUCACAAACAGCAAAACACUGUAAAUAAUACCGAGUCAAUACAGAAUCCUACAUGCAAUUCAAGGUUUGGAGGACAUUGCAAACUCUGCUGAUGGCUUCUUGCAAAGGCCUGAACCAACCUUCUUCAACUUAAAGCAACAGGGCUCUGCGAAAGUCCUGAAGCCAGAUACAGAAAAGGGAAUCUUUUUAAAGUGCUGGCAGGGAAUAGUUGUGAUGUCAUAGAUACUAUGUGCUGCACUAAAUUGUUUUGCAUGUCACACAUCUACAGAAAAGAAGACACAUCACGUGCCAGUGUCUAAUGAAGAUGAUGUCUUAAAAGCAGGGAUAUGGGUAUCAGUUCAAAAGUGUCCUUGUAUUCUUGAGCAAAACUGGCAGAGAUUAAUUUGUACAACCAAGCAAGGACAUUUUUGUCAACUGAGAAUAAUAAAUGUGAGACUCAUGGAAGAGAAAUAUGACAGAACACCGCAAGCCUCUCAGAUGUCUUCUAUAAAUAAGAUGUAGCCAGGAGAUAUUUUCAGGUGUUUUCAGCAGUCUUACAGAUACGGAUGUAUCUCACCAAUUCUACUUGGGACAAGGCUCAACAGACGAGAGAAGUUUAUUGUAAGGAAAUGAUUUAAAAUAUAAAGCCAAAAUCUUCCGUCUUACUUUUUUCCAAAAAGACAUCUUAAAGUUCAGUGAAGCAUUAAGUCACAUGUAUGAAUUUUUAAGCAUUCUGUUGAGGUAAUGCAUUUCUGAUUAUGGAAGUAUGGAAGAGAAACAUGA